AUGGGUGUGCUCGUGCCUGUUGCCUUUGAUGAUGUCUUUUUCUCAGGAAGAAAAAAAGAGAAGGUGGGAGGGAGAGGGAGGGAGGGACGGACGGAUGGCCACGACGCCCGGAGGCACGAGAAGGCCGAAGUCGUCGUUGUUGCGCGUGGUGCCCAGGGGCGGCGGCUCCAAGACGCACUGCCCGCGCUGACUGCCGAUAAUAUCGCGUGUGCCAUACCACCGGUUACCUGGACGUCACGCUCCGGCGAUUCUUUUCGGCGUCAUGCGCCGCCGAUCGUCUGGACGCCGCGUGCCGCCGGCUGGACGUCUUGUGCUGCCGAUUGCCUGCACGAAGUGCGCCACCGAUCGUUUGCUACCGCAGCGGCGGCUUGGAACCUGGUCUUUCCCAAGGGUAAGAUGAUUUUCCUUUCCCUUGCUACAUGUUCCCAGCAGAGUGGCCAGGCGACCGGGACGGGCAGCGCAAGCGGAUCGUGCGGGCAAACCGGGCGAGCGGCGACGACGGUCGAGCAGACCAACCUUGAAAGUGGCAAUUUUGAGAAGCCACUUAUUGGAAGUGGCAAAUAUCCAAAUUUCUCCGCCCCGACUCCCCCGCUCGCCUGCGCCCUCCGCCGCUCCCCGCUCGUGAUGGCCGCCGCCCAGCUCACCGCCUCGCCCGCUCUGCUAGUUCCUGCUCUCCGCCACGCGCAGCCCAGCUCGCCGCCUCGCCCGCUCUGCCAGCUCCUGCUCUCUGCUGCCCAGGAUUGUUUUUCUCUCGCGCCGAAAAAAAUUUUUGGGCCCGGGGCUUGCUUCAAUCCUGGAUCCGCCGCUGUGUGCUGCUGCUGUGUUCAAAAAAGAAAAAUGGGGGUUGACGCCCGACCUAUGGAAUGGGUCGAUGGGACUACGAGCCUAAUUGGUUUGCAGCCAAAAAUUGGCAAGCCAACUAUUGGCGCUUACCAAAAAUUGACGGGCGAUUGGUUCGGCUCGAACCAACCAACUCCUGCCCCCACCGCUCUCCCCUCACGGUUCGCCCCACCAGAUCUAACCCUGUCCUCCUCCUUCGCCCUAACCCCAUCCCCUAGCGCCUCCUUCUACCACCCCUGCCCCUGCGCCGCCGGUGACCAGAAAAGCUCAAGGACCUCCAGCGGGAAGUCCUCGGCCAGCUGCCAAGCAGGGCCAGAUCCACCGGAGCAGUCAAGGUUAGUUCGUGCCCAAAUGUCAUGGGACUUCUCUUCUUUCCCCGUGUACUGUACCCAAUCACCGCUCUCUCAUCUGACUCCACAAGCGGAUGGUUCGAGGGCGACCCAGGGCCGCCGCCGCCGCUGCCUCCUCCUCCGCCUAGAGCGGCUCACCGCCGGCGCUGCCUCCUCCUCCUCCGCCAAGAGCGGCUCACCGCCGGCGCCCCCACCCCCUGGAAUCGCCUCUUUGCCUGCGUCUUCUUCUCUUCUCCACUGCCGUGCAACUCGAAAGAAAAGGGGAUACGCGUAUCGAAGCAGUAUCGGUGUCCGGAUAUCUCGGUGUCCGACCUGGAUCGCCACAUGUUCGGAUAUCUCGGUGUCCGACCUGGAUCGCCACAUGUACACCGCCGGCUGCCCAGACCCGGACAUCGUGAUCCGGACCUCGGGCGAGACCCGGCUGAGCAACUUCCUCCUGUGGCAGACGACGUUUAGCCAUCUGCAGAACCCAGACCCCCUCUGGCCUGAGUUCUCCUGGAGGCACCUCGUCUGGGCGAUACUGCAGUACCAGAGAGCCUACCCGUACAUUGAGCAGAACAAAGAUCUGGCUAAGAAGCAGCUGUGA
rnacentral:rRNA from 1 species